GUGCCAGCCGCCGCGGUAAUACGUAGGUGGCAAGCGUUGUCCGGAUUUACUGGGCGUAAAGAGCGCGCAGGCGGUCGAUUAAGUCGAGUGUGAAAGCCCCCGGCUCAACUGGGGAGGGUCACUUGAUACUGGUCGACUCGAAGGCAGGAGAGGGAAGUGGAAUUCCCGGUGUAGUGGUGAAAUGCGUAGAUAUCGGGAGGAACACCAGUGGCGAAGGCGACUUCCUGGCCUGUUCUUGACGCUGAGGCGCGAAAGCUAGGGGAGCAAACGGGAUUAGAUACCCCUGUAGUCC
rnacentral:rRNA from 1 species